GACGAACGCUGACGGUGUGCUUUAGACAUGCAAGUCGAGCGAGAAAGCCCUUCGGGGUUAGUAAAGCGGCGAACGGGUGAGUAACACGUGGGCAAUCUGCCCCUCGCAGGGGGACAACCGGGGGAACUCCGGCUAAUACCCCGUAAGCUAUGUGGAUCGCAUGGUUCACAUAGGAAAGGUAGCUUCGGCCAUCCGGCGAGGGAUGAGCCCGCGGUACAUUAGCUAGUUGGUGGGGUAACGCCUACCAAGGCGGCGAUGUAUAGCUGGUCUGAGAGGAUGAUCAGCCACACUGGGACUGAGACACGGCCCAGACUCCUACGGGAGGCAGCAGUCGGGAAUCUUGCACAAUGGGCGAAAGCCUGAUGCAGCAACACCGUGUGAGCGAUGAAGG
rnacentral:rRNA from 1 species